rnacentral:tRNA from 1 species
GGGAGACAAACAACGAUUUUGAUGUCUGAGUUAUUUAUUCUUAGGCCAAAAUCCUGUCACCUUAGGUCGAUCGGUACCUCAACUUUGAAGCUAAGAGAGUUCCAGCAAUGGUUGUCUGCUUAGUGGAGAUUUUUAGUUCCUAAACUUUGUCUAGUUCACAACCCAUUAGGGAUGAGACUCCUGGGCCAUUAGCUCAGGUGGUUAGAGCGCACCCCUGAUAAGGGUGAGGUCCCUGGUUCAAGUCCAGGAUGGCCCAUUCGGUGUAGGGGGUUUAGCUCAGUUGGUAGAGCGCCUGCUUUGCAAGCAGGAUGUCAGGAGUUCGAGUCUCCUAACCUCCACUGACUACCAAAAUCCCCAUCUCCAAAACCUGGAGUAUGAACUCGUAUGGAUUGUGAUUUAGAUUUGUCCGCUAGAUGACCCUAGCUUCUUGUCAUUUUAAGGCAUGGAAAUAAUUCCAUAAUUUGAUUGAUAGGAUGCUGGGCUCGAUGCAAUGUAUUGAGAGAUCAAUGCAUUGUUUUGAUGUCUAGCCGAACCUUGACAACUGCAUAGUUAAGUCUGGAAAGAAUAAAGCAUCUUAUGGAUACAUCAUUUUUUGUGUUAACGCAUGAAGGAGUGAUGUUAAUUCUAAAGCAAGAGCCGAGACUCCAGUAUGUUCUUUCAAAUGUGUCGAGCAUUUGAGAGUUUGAUUUUAAUUUCUAGUUUUGGGAGCUAUUUUUAGUGUCUGACUUUAGAAAUUAGAAAAAUCUGUUUCAACAACAGCAAGCGUGCUGGAGAUACAU